AGCUUAGUAGGUGGGUCUUAGGCAUUUUUUCGCGUUUUGUUCCCUCCUUCCUCCUUCCCAUCAGAUAUUGGAAAGCUGUUGAGUUUGUUUAGUUGCUACAACUGCUUUUUCUGUCGUCCUACUUUCCCUUAUUCAACUCCGUUCAGCAGCAGCGGCAGCAGCCGAGCUCGCCCACCGCGGGCUGGGCUGGAUACAAGGAUGGCCACAGCGCCGGAACGACGGGUGGCCUCAAGUACUCAACCUCCAACUGAAAAACUAUACCUAAAGAAGCAGCGGGAUAUCGACGAGCCGGCAUACAGAAACAAAAGGAGAGUAAAAUAGGUAAACGUCCAGCAGAACGUCCAGCACUGCCGGGGGAAGGAAUAAAUAGGCAGCGGCGAUGCGUCUCUGCUCUUCAUUGUUGUUUACGCUCAACCUUAAUUUUUUCCCUCUUACUAAUUCGUCUCACCUUACAUUUUUUUCCUCCUUUUGGCACCUAUUGAUUAUUGCCAUGGAUAUACUAGUUUAGUCUCCCCCCAAAUGGCAAGAGGAGCGUGACACUACGCUAAUAACAAAAAAACGCAGAGGUUGUUGUAUCUUUCCUAUUGUUAUCCAAUUGCAUUCAAUUGUGGAAUCGCACUCUCAGCUGACGGAUCUAAAGCAUCUGUUCCACCACCUUCGUCUAGCGCCAACUUUCCCCUGCAAUAAUGGAUUCGUUACGAUAUUCAAGAUGAUGCGAGAUGGACCAAGAGUCAGCAUUUCACACAGAGCUCGAGCUGGGAAACGCUGCUCAUGUGUCACAAGUCAAUAAUACUGUAUUGAUAUGGCCAAUCGUCGUGAAGAAAGUAAACGAAACAAGAGAUGGUGGAUUUCUCUCCUCUCUCUCUCUCUCUUUGCCCGGCAUGAUCACGAUAAAUCAUCAAAAAAAGAAUAGCACCGCUUCCUAUGACAAAGUUCCGCGUUAUUCGGCGUGAUGGAAAGUUCUGGGGCUGGCGUUGUCGCUCUCCAAUUCAUCGGCCCGCACGGCAGGCACGGCUUAUCGGUUGAGAAGACGUUACGCCACCAUGGCAGCCAGCCCAGCAUAACAACAAACAGGUCCCCAGGUGAAACGACCAGAGUGCCUUGGCUAAGAUAUAACAACCAGCCAGAGCCUAGACCACUUUCCCGUCCUUUUUUAUUAAAAAAAAGAUCAUCUUUUAUAGUUUUCAGGUAUUUUCUGCAAAGGUAAAAAAAGGAAAACAAAAAGAACGGUUCCGAUCCAUCUCAGAUUCGCCGUGCUCCACUUGUGUUUCAACAACGAUUUGUUGUUGUUCCGCGAUUUGAUUUUCUUUAAGAGUGCCAGAGAGAACUUUCGGUCAUCGAGCGUCGUUUUUCGCCAUUCCACGUUACUUUUCGCGCAAAAUGAUUA